GAUGAACGCUGGCGGCGUGCCUAACACAUGCAAGUCGAGCGAUUUACUUCGGUAAAGAGCGGCGGACGGGUGAGUAACGCGUGGGUAACCUGCCCUGUACACACGGAUAACAUACCGAAAGGUAUGCUAAUACGAGAUAAUAUGCUUUUAUCGCAUGGUAGAAGUAUCAAAGCUUUUGCGGUACAGGAUGGACCCGCGUCUGAUUAGCUAGUUGGUAAGGUAACGGCUUACCAAGGCGACGAUCAGUAGCCGACCUGAGAGGGUGAUCGGCCACAUUGGAACUGAGACACGGUCCAAACUCCUACGGGAGGCAGCAGUGGGGAAUAUUGCACAAUGGGCGAAAGCCUGAUGCAGCAACGCCGCGUGAGCGAUGAAGGCCUUCGGGUCGUAAAGCUCUGUCCUCAAGGAAGAUAAUGACGGUACUUGA
rnacentral:rRNA from 1 species